rnacentral:snRNA from 1 species
UGAGAAAGCUUCUCCUAGAGU